rnacentral:lncRNA from 1 species
CCCCCUUCUUCUUGUUGCUCGAAUCCUUGAUUUUCCAUUGUUGUUGCUCGAAUCGUGAGCAACGGCGGCGGGGGUGUUCUGGUCUAGCUGGGAACCUUAGAUCGAGAGAGGGGAGAGGGGAGAGAGUAGAAAGGAGAGGGAGACCAGAGACGAGGGAGGCUGCGAUUUGGGGCCUAGAUUCAGGGAGGGAGGCCGCGAUUCAGGGCAGGGAGGGGCUUCGCCAUCCGAGCUUGAAGCUCUCGCCGGCGACCUGGAAAUCAGAGCCCCAAUUUUGCUUUUUCUUUUUCUUUUUUUUUAAUUGUGGUUGGAAAUAAAAACGACGUCGUAUUGUUUUAAAAAAAACGACGCCGUUUUCUUGCACCGCCGACUAUGCCACGCUGUAUUUUCGGUAGUCCACGUCACCUUCAAUUUGGGGGUUUUUUCUGAGUUUGGGAACAUUAAGAACGGAUUUUCAAUUCAUGUAUUUAUAUGCCGAUUUUGAAGUUGGUGAGAAUAUCGCGAAUUUUUUAAAAGCUUUUGAAUUUAGC